UACGUAGACCUCAAGCGUUAUCCGGAUUUAUUGGGCGUAAAGCGUGUGUAGGGGGCUUUGUGCGUCUUGGGUGAAAUCUCACUGCCUAACGGUGAGCCUGCCCAGGAUACGGCGAAGCUAGAGGAGGCGAGAGGUGAACGGAGCGCACGGUGUAGGGGUGAAAUCCGUUGAUAUCGUGCGAAACACCAAAGGCGAAGGCAGUUCACUGGCGCCUUCCUGACCCUGAGACACGAAAGCGUGGGGAGCAAAAAGG
rnacentral:rRNA from 1 species